UGCCGGACUUGAGUGCGAGAGAGGAUGAGAGAAUUCCUGGUGUAGCGGUGAAAUGCGUAGAUAUCAGGAGGAACACCGGUGGCGAGAGCGCCCAUCUGGCCCGUUACUGACGCUGAGGCGCGAAAGCUAGAGGAGCGAACGGGAUUAGAUACCCCGGUAGUCCUAGCCGUAAACGGUGGGCACUAGGUGUUGGAGGCAUUGACCCCUCCAGUGCCGCAGCUAACGCAUUAAGUGCCCCGCCUGGGGAGUACGGCCGCAAGGCUGAAACUCAAAGGAAUUGACGGGGGCCCGCACAAGCGGUGGAGCAUGUGGUUCAAUUCGACGCAACGCGAAGAACCUUACCCAGGCUUGACAUGCACUGGACGGGUGUGGAAACACAUCUUCCCUUCGGGGCUGGUGCACAGGUGCUGCAUGGCUGUCGUCAGCUCGUGUCGUGAGAUGUUGGGUUAAGUCCCGCAACGAGCGCAACCCUUGCUCUUAGUUGCUAACGAGUAAAGUCGAGCACUCUAAGAGGACUGCCGGCGGCAAGCCGGAGGAAGGUGGGGAUGACGUCAAGUCCUCAUGGCCCUUACGCCUGGGGCUACACACGUGCUACAAUGGUCGGUACAAAGGGUUGCGAUACCGCGAGGUGGAGCCAAUCCCAAAAAGCCGGCCUCAGUUCGGAUUGCAGUCUGCAACUCGACUGCAUGAAGCCGGAAUCGCUAGUAAUCGCUGAUCAGCAGGCAGCGGUGAAUACGUUCCCGGGCCUUGUACACACCGCCCGU
rnacentral:rRNA from 1 species